rnacentral:tRNA from 1 species
GGGGAUGUAGGUUAGUGGUAGAGCUUGUGCUUUGCAUGUGCGAGGUCCCGGGUUCAACCCCCAACGUCUCCA